UGUAAUUUCAGGAUUUACGACUACCCGUCUUCUCUCAGACUCUGCUCCUGGGAUGUAACAUUCAUUGCUUGCUAUGUCUAUACCUCACUACAUGCAAUGCACCUUUAGAAGACUGUCUCCUUACUCCAUAAUGGAAUUUGUCUCUGACCUAUUGCAGCUAUGAGAUAAGCAUUACCUGCCCCAGAGGCUACCUGCCACUCAGUGAAGAUCAUAUGCCUAAGUCAUGACAUCAACAUCAAACUCUCUUCAAAUCUGGGAGAAAGGCUCAGCUCUUACAACCAGGACAAGAAGAAAUGACACCAGUAGAGAGAUCAUUUGGUGAGCAGCAGGGUUGAAAGAGCCUCAAACCAUGGAGAGAGAGCCUGGAUCUCGAGUAGAAAGGCUUCUGGCACUGAAGAAGUCAAACAGGAUCCCUGAGAGGGAAAAAGCCAGGAGCUUGGGGAAUUAUCUUCACCAAGGUCUGUCUAGAGAUGUGGUUGGCAGAUUUAUGACCCCCAAAGAUGUCUACAUCCUAAACCCAGGAAUCUGUUGCUAAGACUGAGUAAAACAAGAAAAGCAAUGGGGAACCUCACUCACAUCCAUGCUUCCUUGUCUCAUCUGUAUGUAUGAUUUUUGCACAACUUAUUUGAUACUUUGGACAUAAAGCAAGGAAUGAGACGGGGAGAUAGGAAGCUCUCUUAUUCCUAAACUCUUAUUACAGUCUCCACUGUUUCCAGCCUCCUCAUGUAUGUCCAGAGUCAACAACAGGCCUAGAAAGCUGGAAAUGGAAGCAGCAGAAACCUUUGUUCCUCCAGGGUUUAGGAUGGCAAUGGGGAACAAGUGUUCAUCCCUAUAUUGCACACAGCACUCAUCCUGUUCACAGAUCCACAGGAAAUAACUAGAGCUCAUCAGUCCUCCUAGGCCAAGAAUUUUCAAAACAAUCCUAGCACCUAUGGGGCAUCGUGGUCAUCCAAGCCCUAAGAAGGCUGCUGUCCAUCCAGUCAAGGCUAUCGGAGGGUGUCUGAGGUGUCCUCUCCCUCCUUAUCUGCACCCCUUCCCCUUCCUGCCUUCUCAGCCAGCAGCAGCAUUGCUUCAUUGAGGAAACCUGCACAACACACAAGCAACUAAGAGGCUUCUGGAUUUCAAAAGCCUGAGUUUUGAAGAUCUCAGCCUCCAGCAUUUAUGUCAUAAACAAAAUAUUUGGACCAUUGAUGGAGAGACUUUUACCCUCAGGCUAGAUUAAGAUUCACUAAUCAAGAGAAAGAAAAGAAGCAAAUCGGACCUGAAGAAGGUAGCUGAACCUUGAAGAGGGGAAUAACAGAAACUCAAGGUCAGGUGGAAAAAUCCAAGAGUACUUUACUGAGUUGUGAUGAGGAGACUCAUAGAAGCUUCACAUUUCUCUGACUGGGGCCAACAGGUCCUCCUCCCACACUCUGGACAGCCAGAUUCCUAUUUGGCAUUAAUCUGUGUGUUCCACAGUCCGCUUCUACAGCCUCAGGAAACCUCCCGUCAACACUGGGACCUCGGUAUGGGGCAAAUUUCAGGAGGAAAAGAAUAAAAGGAAUAAAAGUUAAGUCCUCCAGUAUUUUUUGGCAGAAAGGUGAGGAGCAAAGUUCCAAUGACUCAGGAUCAGUGAUAGAAGUUGUUGGUCCAUGGGGAAAAGAAUUGGGCAUCUCCAGCUCUGUGAUCUUUCUUCCAGGCCCUUGACCUGCCACCAGCAUUUUACAUACCCACGCAUACACACACAAUUAUAUUCCCCAAAAAUACUCCCCAAAGAGGAUUUCCAGAGUGCUUUUAGAUCCUUUGACAUUUCCAACCUCUCCUCCAGUGAUUUAAAAAAAAAAUCUUCACUAGAAUCAUAAUGUCUCUGGUAUUUCUUUUCAAGAAAUUCCAAUCACAUAAUUGAACAGGGUUGAGUUGUAGGAGAGGGUUAAGAAGAACAGGCUCUCUGAGUGACAGUCACACUCAGGCGCCAUCUGGCUGCAACCCACUGUAUCAACAGCCAAACCAUGAGGUCCACACAGGUUACACUGGCGGGUACGCAGAGGCAGGGACAUCUAUCUAGUAGCAAGGCGCCUCACUGUGCAGAUCUGGGCACAUAGCUUCAUCGGAAUUCCUCCCACACCAGCCUCAAACAAGCUGCCCUUUACUGAGUGAGGUUUUCAGGGGAUGCAGGUAGGAAAAGAUUAAACAGUGAAUAACUUUAUUUAUUAUUCCUAACCCAUAGCCAUCUCGGAGGGCUGGAAUAGCUCCCUGGCUCCCUGGGUCUCAGAGAUGCCUAUAGGUCUAGGCUGUGGGUACGCCUGUGGUUUGGGGUUUGUUCUGCUUUCAUUGUGAGCCAAACCUCCAACAAUCCCUACACCCUGGGUGGUUACUAUUGAUUUUUUUUUUU
rnacentral:lncRNA from 10 species